rnacentral:ncRNA from 1 species
GUUGUUCGAGGUGGUAAAAUUCGUUGCAACCACGCACCCAUUGGGUCAAAAGAGAUGCAGGAGAGGCGACGCCUGCCGAGUAAC